UACGGGGGGAGCAAGCGUUGUUCGGAUUUACUGGGCGUAAAGGGCGCGUAGGCGGCCAGUGCAAGUCAGUUGUGAAAUCUCCGAGCUUAACUCGGAAAGGUCAACUGAUACUGCUCGGCUAGAGUGCGGAAGGGGCAACUGGAAUUCUUGGUGUAGCGGUGAAAUGCGUAGAUAUCAAGAGGAACACCUGCGGCGAAGGCGGCAUCCUGGACCGGCAUUGACGCUGAGGCGCGAAAGCCAGGGGAGCAAACGGG
rnacentral:rRNA from 1 species